UUCUCCUUCUAGUACCAAAAUGACAGAGCCUGCUCUUGGAUUAGUUUCUUUUAGUCAAUUUAUUUUUCAUUUUCUUUUUCCUUUCCUUUCCUUUUGAGAUAGAAUCCUGCUAUGUGGUUGGUCCCGAAUGGUGGGACCUUACGCGAGUACUACUACACGAGCUUCUCUUAAUCAGUUUCUGUUUUCAUAACCCCUUGCCUUCCCUCUGCUUAUAUCUUACUAGUUUGCUUCAGCUCUCAUAUCGUUUUCAGUUGAUUUUGAGAAAAUGAAAGACAGAAAAGUGGUCAUUCUCUGAGGUUAAAUGAGGAAUAGCUCCUACAUUGACUUGUAGUAUGCGCUGAAAAAAAUGUAUUUAACAUACAUUAAUAACCUCAUGAGAUCAAAACAAUGUACAUACCAUUUUAUAAUUAGUAACAUUUUAAAAUAUAGAACUGCAUCAGCUACUUCUUUGACUAAAAUUUUCCACUGCUCCCUUCUCUCCUAUAGCCAUUUCUCUGCUAUUUUCAUUUCCCCAUACUUUGAACUAUUCAUUCUACACUGACCUAGAAUCAAUGCCACUUCUGCCUAGCCAGGUCUGUGUUACCAGAGAGCCAAGUAGAGCAGAGGAUCGAAGAAGGUAGGUCUGGAACUAAAACAUCCAUCAGGCAAUAACAAAAUUGAAUUUCCUUCCAGCUCAAAAAUUCAAUGACUCUUAGCCGUCUCUAAAGCAUUCCACUGAACAAGCACACAGCACUGAUUUUAGGACUGUAGGUAGCACAGGCUGUCGUCUGAACGCUAACUGUACUCACUUGCCCAGAUGAAGUUUUAAGUGUGGAUUUACCUAGGUCUCUUCAAUUCUUUAUUCAUCUCUGUUCUUUUAGUUUUAAAUAAAGAUAAAAUGGUUUGGUAAGAUAUUUGUAAAUGGUUAGCUUACUUACCAUUAGGUUAAACAAAUAGUUCACAAAAAAUAAAUUAAAAAUGCCUAAAACUUUAUUUUGCUUUGGAACGCUCAUAAACCCUAAUGAGAAAUAAACACUUAAAAACCAAUAAAGAUAUAAAUAAAGAUAGCUGUGCGUCCAAGACAUUUACCUUGAAGUAGAAUUUUAAUUUCAAGUUUCAUAGAAUGUUUAGAGUUAGAAGGAGCCUGAAGGUCAUCUAGUCCAACAGACUCUGCAUGAGGGAGUUCCCGCGACUCCUGCAGCAUUAUAGGGUACACUACACUGGCUUACGUAGCCUCGGAACGGCCUACAUUGAAGAAUCCGGUGUACUUUAAAAUCUAAUUAAUAGUGUUGAGUCUUAGAAUUUACUAUUGACCUUGUACUAAAACUUAGAAUUUGCCCUUGUAGCUUUUUUUUUUAAUGUGAGAGUCACCCUGCUCUUUGCUUGCUGACACCGGAGCCUGAAUGCAGAGUGACAGUGGUCUUUGUGGGAACUGGCUAUGUGCAGAAGCUCUGCCCUCUAAGCGUCCCCAUCUGUCAUGAGGACGUCCCGUCCCCUUCCCUCUCACCCUCUCAUGGAGGGUAAGACCACGUUCUCUAUUAAAGUCGAUUUGGUGAUGUGCUUUCUAUUUUGUGUGCUUACUGUAUUAUUUAAAGUUCAUCUAAUGAGCUUCACUAAUUCUGCUGUGCUUUCUGCCCAUCAUCUGGAACACUGCAGUUUGUUUCUUUUGUUUGUUCAACCCUUCUGUGUCAUAUAACUUACGUUCCAGAUUAGAAGGUUUUGUUAGUUAUAUGUCUCUAGCCAAACUAAAUGCAUACAUACUUGUUAGAAGCAAAGUUAGUAGCCAGCUGUAUAGACAGUGCCUUUCUCAGUUUAUUUUUGAUAUUUAAUUUUCUUAAUUACAAAUUUAGAAAGUAACACAUUGGAACACAAGGUGAAAUUUUUAAAAACCCUUCUAGUUUUGGCUGUGUUCUUUGUUGGGUUCAGUGUUUUAUAUAAACAUUGGUUUCUACAAGGUCUUGAAGAGAGACUGGCAAACCCUCCUAAGAUGGGCAAGACUUUUCUGUGCCCCAGCUCAGUUUCCCAGUGAUGUGGCAUAACGCCUGAGCCCUAACUAUACUUCCCUUUAUGGCCAGGUUUCUCCAUUCUUUAUUAGUUUCCCUCUACCUUGACACCAUUUCUACACACAGCAUUAAGUCUAUAGUACAAAGUCCAAAUGACACAUAGAUAAAAGAAGGUAACCUUAGGGGAAAAUGUACAGUUUGUUCUAGUAAUAAAACAAGACAAAAUUAAAGAGCAUAUUAUUUUAACUCAACAUCGUUUAUAAUUUGUAGUAUUUCAUAGACUUUUGAAGGUUAAAACAAUAGGUUAGGUUUGCGGGUUAUUCUGUUUUGGGUUUGUAGGGAUAUACGUAAGAGUGUCAUAAUUUGAUAAGCUCUUUCCGACCCUUUUUAUGUUGGAAUUAUUUUUACAGUGAUGCCCUAGCUCACACAUCACAUUUCAUACGAAAUAGUGAAAGAUGAAGGUUUGGGGAGGGGAGGGUUCUUUUUUUAUUAUCUUAUCCGGUGGCAGUGUGCUGCUUAUUCUGGUGCACCUGUUACAUCCUUUCUUAAGUAACGGACAGCUAUUCAUUCACUGAUACUUUUAAGCUGACUGUCUGGAGAGCUGCGGUUUAAUACUCUAUGAGUUAAUUUUAUUGAGAAUAGUGCAAGUGCUUUGCGUUCAUUGCUUUUACUUGAUUCUCCUCUAUAGGCAACUUACUAGAUUUGAUUACUUCACAUAGUUUUUGAUUUGGGUUUCUUUUCUGUAUAUAUCCAGUGUUCUUGAGUCAAAUUAAAAGAAAUUUGAAUAAACUGAAAUUUUUCUUAUUCCAGGAGCAGAAGACUCUUCCAUUUCUGUUUUUCUGUUAAUUCACACUCCGCUUCCUCCAGCUGCUCAUGAAAGCUAAUUAAUAGAGUAGGAGUGUAUAGCACUAAACUUACUCCACAUAAAUAGCCCACAAUUGGCUCUGCAUUUGAACAUAGUGUCCUAGCACUGAUAAAGUGACACCAUGCACAAAGGCUCAAGCUGGAGGCCAUGGGGACUGUGGUCACACUGGUGCUCAGGAUGGAGGCCUGAUGUCUAUAUUGUGUAAAGGGUUCUUGUGGGUCAGUCAGGUUCACAGCCAAAUAGGGAAAGAGUAGGUUAAGUGUAUUCACACAGCUCUGUGGGUGGUCUGCUCUCUUAAGAAAUAAGCCAGGUGCUAUUCUGAAGCAACACAGUUUUUGUUUGUUUUUACAUUGAUUUUAUAUUCAUUGCUUUUUUUUUUUCCAAUCACAACGGUACAAAAACAACGAAGAUUUCCAUUACAACCCAAAAUUCCUGCCGAAGCUGCCAUUUAUUUGGGGGUGGGUCUACGUCAGCUGACAGACGCUGUUGGCUGCAGUUUGUGGCUACCAUCCCGUGCUUCUUUGUCAGUGAUAUUGAGGUUAAUAUUAGAAACAAGCAGUUCUGUGGUGGAGAAGGAAGUGUGGGUCUUACAACCUUGAAAGGAUUAAGAUAGGAGAUGUAAAUAUUGGUUCAUAAACAGAUGCUCAGUUCUCAGGGCUCUCUUACUGAAGCUAGUAUUCAUGCAGGAAGCUGAAUCUCAGCUUGUGUGCUAAGUUAAUGCUUUAAUUUGGAAUAUAUUUCAUAAGUCUUACCAAGCUGAUAUGUUAUUUCCUAUAGAUUUCCAGCACCUAUCUAGAAAGCAAUUGGCCUAUACGGGUGAGUGUGUCUUUUGUUGGUAUUGUGUGGUCAUUCUGGGAGGUGAGCCCUUGUGGAUUCAUUGCAAAGCUCAGUGCUUCAUCUGCUGGGCAUUACUAGUGGGUCUCCGCCACACUUUGUCAAUAUUUAGGCUUUUAGUUUAGUAUUUUAUAUUUAAAUCACUUAGCAAACAUGUAUUUAUAGUCUCUUCACUUUAUAUUUUAUUAAGUACUUUAUACCAUGUGCAGGAAAGAGAUUUUAAUUUUUUUUAAAGUUUUCAGCUAUUGAUAAACUUGGACAAAAUAUUGCUGUGGCUGGCAAGUUUGGAUUUGCUCAUUAUUCUCUACUCACCAAAAAAUGGAAACUUUUUGGAAACAUUACUCAGGUUAGUCCUUUCUUUUUUUUUUUUUUUUUUAAGAAAAAUAAAUUUCAAGAUACAAAGC
rnacentral:lncRNA from 1 species